rnacentral:lncRNA from 1 species
CAGAGCAAAGUCCUUGCAGAAGCUUGCUGCAUUACAGCCCAAGCCAGCUCCUGAGAACGUCUCUUCAGGGAGGCAAGGAAAUUGGUGGCAGAGUGAAAGACCGGACAGAACAAAAAUUCGUAAACGUCAUAAACUUGAAGAUGAGGAAAAGAGCUGAAAACAGAAGAAUGCAUGCUGCUACUGAAAAGGAGUAUGUGGACAAAUUCGGUACGGGGACAAGUCAAAGCUACAGCUCUGACCCAAACUGCAGGCUCAAGAAGGCACACUGCCCUCACCUAGAAGAGCAGGGGGGAAGAAAGAUCUUCCCUCAGAAGUCAGCAGAGAGAACUCCAGAGAAAUACUCCUAUGAAUGUCAUAGCUCAUCUGAGAUCUGUGAGAUUUGUAAAUUAACACCAGUGUGAGUGACGGUGGGGCCUUGCUCGAGGCCCCACCCCAUCCAUCCUUACUUAUUUAAACCAAACCUUUCCACUUCAUUUUUCUAUCAAACUGAAAGCAACAGACACUUUGCCCUAUGAAAACUGAUGGGGCCAAACUAUCUAUCUUUGCAGGUGUCCCUGCACACAGCCUUAUUAUAAAACCAAGGUGCACAUCUCUGAAAAUCUGAGAUCCAUUUUUUUUUAAAUGAAGGCAUUGCUGAAAAAGUAAAAGCAGUUUAAAAAAAAAGAGAAAAGCGUUGUUGCAAGAGAUUUGCUAAAUUAUUGAACCUAGUAGUCAGUUGAGAGGAUGUCCUUUAUGAAUGGAUAUGAGCUUCCUGGUAGACCCCCAGUCACCUCCAAAUUGCGCACACACUACAGUACAGGACCCCACAGAUCUCACACCUACAGGAGCUGAAGACGCUAAUGAGAACUAAUCACAUUCGCCAGAUCUUAAGAUUCUACUUCUUGAGCUGGUUAGGGAUCCGUGCACCCUGCUAGGCUUUCUUAACAUCCUACUAUAGUACUAGUGUGUACUAGGUUUCAAGUAUUAGCUACAGUCUAUUAGUGCUGAUUUUUUUUUUUCACGCUCAGAAAACCGCAAAGGGAUUUAACCAAAAGGAAGCAAAGGUUUUCUUUUUAUAAAUUCGAUUAGUCUUUUCCACUUUCUCUGCCUCGGGACAUUUCCUUUGGGAAGAAUUUUUAUACCCAAAGACCCCUUAGCGAGGCACUGUUGCAUGCGGGCGCAGUGAAUUUAAGUGCAAGACGCUGGAUGUGGAAGGAAAGUAAAAAUCGCAGGCACUUGCACAAGCCGCUAGCCAAGUCCGUUUCGGAGUGCCAUGUCGUUAUAGGAAUGGGCCCAUAAAGGAAGAAAGAUGAAGUUUGCCGCACGCAGGCAAUGCUGAGUCUUCGGCUAGGGUGAGAAAGCGGGUGCUUACCCUGCCAACCCUCCGCUAACGACCGCUGCACGUCCCACCCGAGCCGGCGCCCAGAGCCUGGUGCUCUCGCA